GGUUGUAUGGUGUAGCGGUAGCACAUUGGAUUCUGAUUCCGUCGUCUCAGAAGCUUUCCAACGACCCCGGUUCGAUCCCGGGUACGACCU